rnacentral:rRNA from 1 species
GACAGAGGCCUCAAGCGUUAGGCGGAAUCACUUGGGCGUUAAAGCGUGUGUAGGUCGGAUGCCUAAGUAACCUUGUGGAAAUCCCCACGGCUCAACCGUGGAACUGCUGGGUAUACUGGGUGUCUUGGGCCAUUCAGGGGCGACUGGAACAAGCGGUGGAGCGGAUGAAAUGCGUAGAUAUCGCUUGGAACGCCGAAGGUGAAAACAGGUCGCUGGGGAUGUGCCGACGUGAGACACGAAAGCCAGGGGAGGCAAACGGG